rnacentral:rRNA from 1 species
CCAAGCUACGAAGAGCCAACGGUGGAUGCCUUGGCACUGACUACCGAUGAAGGACGUGAGAGGCUGCGAUAAGCCACGGGGAGCUGCCGACUAAGCGUCGAUCCGUGGAUGUCCGAAUGGGGAAACCCAGCACCCGUCAUGGGGUGUUACUCCCGUCUGAACACAUAGGGCGGGUAGAGGGAACCGGGUGAACUGAAACAUCUAAGUAACCCGAGGAAGAGAAAGCAACAGCGACUCCCUGAGUAGCGGCGAGCGAAACGGGAAGAGCCUAAACCGGUGUGGUGGAAAGCCUGACGGCGUUGCCACAUGGGGGUUGUGGGAACCGAUGGGACCGGCGUCAGACGGUCCACGGAGUUACAAAGCGAGUGGGUAGUGGAACGGUUCUGGAAAGGCCGGCCGCAGCGGGUAACAGCCCCGUACACGAAACUCAUCUCGCCUCCGAUCGGAUCUCCCGAGUAGCGCCGGAUCCGGGAAAGCCGGCGUGAAUCUGCGAGGACCACCUCGUAAGGCUAAGUAUACGUCAGUGACCGAUAGCGAACUAGUACCGUGAGGGAAAGGUGAAAAGUACCCCGGGAGGGGAGUGAAAUAGUACCUGAAACCGUUGGUUUACAAGCAGUCAGAGCGUCGGCCUUCGGGGCCUCGAUGGCGUGCCUUUUGAAGAAUGAGCCUGCGAGUUACGGUAUGUGGCAAGGUUAACCAGUGAUGGGAAGCCGAAGCGAAAGCGAGUCUGAAUAGGGCGUUGAGUCGCAUGCUGUAGACCCGAAGCCAAGUGAUCUACCCAUGGCCAGGUUGAAGCGGAGGUAAGACUCCGUGGAGGACCGAACCCACGUCGGUUGAAAACGGCGGGGAUGAGCUGUGGGUAGGGGUGAAAGGCUAAUCAAACUUGGCGAUAGCUGGUUCUCCUCGAAAUGCAUCUAGGUGCAGCGUCGCGUGUUCAGUACCGGAGGUAGAGCACUGAUUGGGCUAGGGGGCCUACAAGCUUACCGAACUCAGUCAAACUCCGAAUGCCGGUACUCCAGAACACGGCAGUGAGUCCACGGGGGAUGAGCUUCGUUGGACGAAAGGGAAACAGCCCAGACCAUCAGCUAAGGCCCCUAAUUCUGAACUAAGUGGAAAACGAUGUGGGAUUGCCCAGACAGCCAGGAGGUUGGCUUAGAAGCAGCCACCCUUGAAAGAGUGCGUAAUAGCUCACUGGUCGAGUGAUCCUGCGCGGACAAUGUAACGGGGCUAAGUUCAGAGCCGAAGCUAUGGGUUCGUACGCAAGUACGAGCGGUAGAGGAGCGUCGAUGUCGCUGCGAAGCCCAGCGGACGUGUGAACGUACGUGGAGCGUGGUCGAGUGAGAAUGCAGGUAUGAGUAGCGAGAGAGGGGUGAGAAACCCCUCCGCCGAAAGCCCAAGGGUUCCUGGGGAAGGCUAAUCCUCCCAGGGUAAGUCGGGAGCUAAGGCGAGGCCGAAAGGCGUAGUCGAUGCACAACUGGUUAAUAUUCCAGUACCACCGUGUCCGCGCCAGGCCCAAGAGUGGCAACGUUGGGGCUGUUCACCUUCGGGUGAGCGAACCGACCGAGCCGCUGGCGGGUAGCUGAAGGGGGACGCAGGAGGGUAGGUGAACCGGGGCGANNNNNNNNNGACACAAGUCGAAGUCACUGAUCCCAUGCUGCCAAGAAAAUCCCAGCAGUGAGUUGGCACGGUGCCCGUACCCCAAACCGACACAGGUGGGCAGGUAGAGAAUACCAAGGCGAUCGGGAGAACUAUGGUUAAGGAACUCGGCAAAUUGCAUCCGUAACUUCGGGAGAAGGAUGACCCUUGUCGGUGACGACCUCGCGGUCCGAGCUGAUGGGGGUGGCACAGACCAGGGGGUAGCGACUGUUUACCAA